AAACAUGUCCCAUUCGAAUUUUCUAGAAAACCACGAAGUCUGGAUUAUCUUAAAUUGUGGAAAGCAACGGAAUUAAGGCAAUUCUUAUUAUAUUUAGGACCUGUAGUACUUAAAGCACUUGUGCAAGAAAAGUUUUGGUCCUUGUCAUGAUGUACUUUAUUGUUGAAUUUGGAGACAAUACAAUAGCAAUGAUGCCAGAGAAUUGGUUAAAUAAAGAUAAAACAAUGACAAAGUGGCCUCCUUAUAAGGAUGAUAAAAAAAUAGUGCUAGCUAUUGACAAAAUGGAACUUUCUACAUCGGAAUGGGGUUCCUUUGACAUAUCGAGGAUUAUUAGUACAGCUGAUUGUUAUGAAAUCGCAG